CAGUUCGGAUUGAAGGCUGAAAUUCGCCUUCAUGAAGUCGGAAUUGCUAGUAAUGGCAGGUCAGCAUACUGCCGUGAAUACGUUCCCGGGCCUUGUACACACCGCCCGUCACACCAUGAGAGUUGGAGAUACCCGAAGCCUAUGAGCUAACUUUUAGAGGCAGUAGUCGAAGGUAGAAUCAAUGAUUGGGGUGAAGUCGUAACAAGGUACC
rnacentral:rRNA from 1 species